rnacentral:sRNA from 1 species
UCGUCGACGAUGGUGGGCGAGAUGAAGUGGAUGUGCGUGUCGAUGCCGCCCGCGGUGAGGAUCUUGCCGUUGCCGGACAGGAUCUCGGUCUCGGGUCCGAUGACGAGAUCGGGGUGCACGCCGUCCAUCGUGUCCGGGUUCCCGGCCUUGCCGAUGCCGGUGAUCCGGCCGUCGCGGAUGCCCACGUCGGCCUUGACCACCCCCCAGUGGUCGAUGAUGACGGCGCCGGUGACGACGGUGUCGGGGGCUCCUUCGGCGCGGGUCGUACGGGACUGGCCCAUCGACUCGCGG